UGAGCAACCUGCCCUUGACUCUGGAAUAACAGUUGGAAACAGCUGCUAAUACUGGAUAUGCACCGGGCCCCUCCUGGGGUGUGGUGGAGAGCUCCGGCGGUCAGGGAUGGGACCCGCGGCGCAUUAGCUAGUUGGUGAGGUAACGGCUCACCAAGGCAACGAUGCGUAGCCGACCUGAGAGGGUGAUCGGCCACAUUGGAACUGAGACACGGUCCAGACCUCGUACGGGA
rnacentral:rRNA from 1 species